AGUCAAAUACAGAAUAAUGGAAUCUCAGUUUACCUACUUAAAAACCACUUGAUAUGAAAGGAAACUUUUCUACAAAGUAAUCUUGCAGAAUAAGCUCCAGAAGCUGCCAAUACUCCAUCAUGACUUGGAUGAUUUUUCGAAUCCAGAAUUAAUGGCUUCUAAUGCAUCUGAAAAGGUAGAAUACAGCUGAAUCAGUUCACUCUUGCGCACGUCAUUAACAUGUAUUAAGGAAUACUGCAAAAUCUAGACGAGAAUGGAGAAACUAAUUACAAACAGGAAAAAAGAAGUAUUCCAUGGAUAGGCAAACUCUCUGUCGAUCAUACAUGUAUGACAAGCAGAAGUAACGGCUAUACGUUGCCGGUUGAAUCCACCCACAACAUAAAUAAAGAUAUACCAAGUAGUUUCAUUCUCUGACACAAAAUCUGCAGAAUAGUUUGUCAUGAGGUUUCUAACUAUGAUUGAUAAACAUAAAUAGAGGUUUAUUAGGCCGGAUUCUACUAACUGCAUCGCCAACACAGGGAUGAUGCACGGCUGUCAACUGCGAAAGAUGCCAAAGCGCACAAAUAAAAGAGGCCACUGAGCCCAACCCGUGACCCAGCACCAAACAGUGCACACGGACGAAAAGAUGGCCUCCGAGUCCAGUCAUGACCCAGCACCGAUAAAUGUGCACGGAACAAAACAAAUGCAGUGAAAAGAUCCCCUACGAGGGCACAGUCGUAAAAAAAUAGUGCAAUUGCAUCCCCUGGGUUGGCACGUGCUAUACAUUAGCACGGGGCUUUUUGUUCAAAUUCCUUUUUUAAAGAUUUUUUCAACACAACACCUCUUGUAUCCUUGCCUUGUCGGUUGUCGCUCAUCACUUGAACAACUCCAGCACCGCCACCGUCGCCGGGAUGCAGCUCUAACAGCAAAAACCGGAAGCCAACCAUGGCGACUAGCGUGUCUGGCUGCAGCGGCCAUGGAGAGGAGCGCUUGAAGCCAGCCAUGGUGUUCAAUCGCAGCUGCCGUGAGGUUCAUGAGCCAUAUCCGGACCUCCUGCAGCAAUCAGAAUCGAGAAAAAAUUCAGUAACAUAUUGCUGUCUCUGGAUUCAGAAAUGCCUAAAGCAAGAAUUACAUCGAACUUCAAAUAAGAAACACGGACUUCCCUUAUUCAAAAUGAAAGUAAUUUCCAACGGAAAUAACAGCCCUACAAAUUCAAAUAAGAAACACCAAGGAAAAAAAGCCUGCCUAUGAAACGGCCCUGUUCCGUUCCUUGGAGUCUGCCUAUGCUCUCCGCGCUCUUGCCCUUUGCCAGAUUAGAUCAAUGUUCAGCAUCAGUAAUAGUACGGCAGCAGAAUUUUAACUUGCCUAAAAUAAAGUCUACUGCUUGGUGAGAAAAUGUAGCAGUAGCAAACGAAACCUCAAGCAGAUUAAACAUUUACUACAGUACAUGGACUUCUCGUAACCACAGAAUUACCAGGCCAUCAGUAACAACUUGGCAGAACAUGAGAAAAUGUCAAAGACAAGGAUCACCAUUUUCAGAAAAUAUAAACAGUGAGCAUAUUACAGAAGUUAGAAGUAAUGUAAACAGUGAGCAUACAGCUAGCUCUACUGUCACCAACUAGGAUAAUUACUGAUGCUUCACAUUCACUUCCAUGUCAAUCACUUAAGUGGAGAUAAAACUGAAACUUCCUUGCUAUAACAACCACAACAUAUUAACAAAAAUGAGCGAUGCAGCACUAUACCUACUAAGAAAAUCCAUCAACACGCACACACUCAUCAGAUUCCGACACAAUAUAUAUGUAUCCCACAUGACUGAGUUACAUGUGUGGAUGUGCUUCCAUACAGCCAGCAAUCAAGACAUCCUCAUGUCCCUUAAGCAAGACAGGACUUGCACAAUGGUUGAAUGUGAAAGAUAUUCUCGUGAAAAUAUCUCUCGCGGCCUGCAGUGAGAAAAUAGAACAAAUUAUCCAACUGCAUAGCAUAUUCCUAUUCUCGUCUAGCUAUUAAAAUGUAAAACAGAAAAUAAUUAUCAGGUGUUCAUAGUCUAAAAUCUGUUGCUUAUACUAUUUACCUGUAUCAACAUGUACUGAUAAAAUGCCAUGGAUAUUUGCACAGCUAUCAAGCAAAACAGCAUCAUAUAUAACUUCCAUAUUUGCACAGCUAUCAACUAAAGCAGCAUUAUAUAUCAACCCAGCGUUUUUUUAAGAAUCUUCGACUAACAGAAAUAAUUCUUUAGGAUAGUGCUAACCAGAUCUCUGUAGCCAAAUAAUAAGAGCCUGAGUCAUGUCCAAAUUAUCACAAUCAGAGAACCAACAUUAUCCUUUUUGCUUACUAGUUUCAUUAUAUAUGCAAAACAUAUGGAUAAGCAACCUGGAAAUAUUCGCGCAUUUCAUCAUGAUGGCAAAGAAGUAGUGAUCUUUACCUUGAUCAAACAAGGAGAGCAGUUACUUCAUUUGCUAAUCCUAUUCCAUUCUAGCCGGUGCAUGCAGAGUCAAAUUCCAACUAAUAGUAUCAUCAUUUUAAGAUCUGUAACCUCCUCUUACUGCACGUAUACAAGGAGUUCAGAUAUAUUACAACACAAGUGGUAUGCACUGCUCGUAGUUAAUAGUAGCAUUGCUCACAUAAGAAUAUGAACAAGAGAAAGUAUUUGACAAGCAUUGCUCACAGCAGAAUGUAAAAUUUAUAAGAUCUAAACGGAUAACCCUAGCAUUGCACAUUUAGGCUUGGGUCGUAACAUAUCACCAAUAGAGUAGGAAACCUGGUAAACUCAGUUAGUAGCCCUUUUCGCUGCUUACUUAGCACUGCUUAUUUCGAAGGAAAGCUGAAGAAAUAUGGGUAAACAUCCACUAAAUCAAUUAGGGAACAUGUGACUCACGGCAUAUAACACAAACAGGUUCAACAAAUAUUAUUGGUUUACCAAAGUCCAUCAGGAAACAUGUGCAACAAAGAAAAACAGAAAAGCAAGUCAUCUUGCAGAGAAGUAGAAGUCAACCACAGAAAAUUCUAACCUUCUGUAAAACACUUGCGCAGUCAAAUACAAAAUAAUGGAAUCUCAGUUUACCUACUUAAAAAUCACUUGAUAUGGGAGGAAACUUUUUUACAAAGUAAUCUUGCAGAAUAAGCUCCAGAAGCUGCCAAUACUCCAUCAUGAAUUGGAUGAUUUUUCGAAUCCAGAAUCAAUGGCUUCUAAUUUCUAAUGCAUUUGAAAAGGUAAAAUACAGCUCAAUCAGUCCACUCUUGCCCACGUCACUAACACAUACUAAGGAAUACUGCAAAAUCUAGACGAGAAUGGAGAAACUAAUUACAAAUAGGAAAAAAGAAGUAUUCCAUGGAUAGGCAAAAUCUUUGUCGAUCAUACAUGUAUGACAAGCAGAAGUAAUGGCUAUACGUUGCCGGUUGAAUCCACCCAUAGCAUAAAUAAAGAUUAGUUUCAUUCUCUGACAAAAGAUCUGCAGAAUAGUUUGUCAUGAGGUUUCAAACUAUGAUUGGUAAACAUAAACAGAGGAUAAGCACACAUGAAUUUUUCCUGAGUUGUGUAGAAAAAGGCCUUUAAAGACAAUAAUGAAGAGAGUACUAUUACAUAAUUGAUUUAUAUUUCCGUUUUUCCUCUCCAACUAGCCAGGUUGGGCAUAAACCCUGGAAUUAAUAACAAAAUAAAUGAGAAGAUUCAGAGUCUGGGUGCAGCGGCGACUUGGGUGUCGCGUGACGCAAUGGUGCGAGGCCGCGGCAGAAAGCGGUGGUGCGAGGCGGCGGCAGCGGGACGCGGUGGUGUAAGGCUGCGUCGACGUUACGCCGUGGUGCUGCCUAGGCCGCGGCGGCAGGGCUGUUGGCGACGGCUAUGCUAUUGGCGGUGCUUAGGGCUUCCUCGCUGCUCCGCCGUUGCCGUUCCGAGGGGAUGACGGGAGCAGGGAGGCUAACUGACCUAGGUGGAGAAAAGGGAGGACCCAGCAACGACGACCGCGGCGGCCAAGCUGUUGGCGGUGGCGGCGACGACGCGCACGCAGAGGUGCUACACCCGCCAUGAGUAGCAGGAGACUCUGCGGCGAAGACACGAGAGUGGAAGGGGAACGGGCCUCGGGCCGGUGCGGGACAAGAAAUCCACCGGGCAGAUUAGUACCAUACCGAAAGUUUAAUCAGGACGUGACCAGUUUAUUAGGCCCAAUUCUACUAGCUGUAUCGCCAACACAGGGAAAAUGCAUGGCUGUCGGCUGUGAAAGAUGCCAAAGCGCACAAAUAAAAGAGGCCAUCGAGCCCAACCCGUGACCCAGCACCCAAUAGUGCACACGGACGAAAAGAUGGCCUCUGAGCCCAGCCGUGACCCAGCACCGAUAAGUGCACACGGACCAAAAUAAAUGCAGCGAAAAGAUCCCCUAUGAGGGCACAGUCGUAAAAAAAUAGCACAAUUGCAUCCCCUGAGUUGGCAAGUGCUAGACAUUAGCACUUGGCUUUUUGUUCAGAUUCCAUUUUUAAGGCUUUUCCUACAAGAAAACACAUGGGAUGCAGCAGCCAUCGAGAGCAGUGCUCGAAGCCAGCCAUGGCGUCCGCUCGCAGCUGCCGCGAGGUUGCUUGUAGUGGCCAGGGCACAUCGCGCGGCCAGCUUUUUGCUGCCCCUCCUCGAUGUUUGUUGCUGCAGUGAAGAAGAAAGCGGAUGAGCGAGAAAUCAAACAUUCUAUGAAAGAGUGAGAGUUCAAACAGAAUAAGAUUGCUAGAUCGUAAAAUAGGGUAGCUAGGGUAGCUCAUUGUCCUAUGAAUUAUGUAUGGACAACUCGAAACAAUGCAUGUUGGUUGCAUAGAGCUCCUUAUUUUGUUAAGGAUCUUGUAAUAGCUGAUUGCAACCCUAUUGAAUUGAAAUAAAAACUCGGAUUCCCUGCAAAAAAAGGUGGAUGAGCAGCGGAGGAGAUGGAGAUGUGCUGCUACAGCAACAAGAGAGAUAUUUCACAGGGUGGGAAAGAGAUGAGAAUAAGAAGGACGGUGUUAACGCCCAUUGCAAGUUGGAAUGGCAGGACGCUCGGAGCUGCCUCCCAUGCGUGCGAUCUAGCCAGAUCGGACGCAUCGCGUGCGUCCGGCUCAAAGUUGUGUCGACCAGCCAUGUUCAAACAUUUUUCUUUUUUAACAUAUCAGCAAACCGUGUAACUAUCUCUUUAUAUUGUUGUCCAGGGCAGUGCUAUACAAGGUACACAGAUCAAAUUCCACGUGAAGCGCUAAUGAUAGAGGACAGAACCAUAUAGACACUUACCAGUAGCACACUCUUGUCAUUACACACACGCGCGUCGAGUGCAGAGAGACAUCAAGACGAACGCACUAACCAACGAAGGGCAUGAUUCCACGAGAUAGGCUAGUCUCCGACUUGCAUUCUGAUCUUGGGAUAAAGCUCUCAUCGUCAUGCCCACCAGGUUCAGAGGUGUGGGUGUUGGCUAUUCUAUCGUCGUCCUUGGCGAAACAAUAGCAAGGUUGGGCAUAAACCAUGGAAUUAAUAACAAAAUAAAUGAGAAGAUUCAGAGUCUGGGUGCAGCGGCGACCUGGGUGUCGCGUGACGCAAUGGUGCGAGGCCGCGACAGAAAGCGGUGGUGCGAGGCGGCGGCAACGGGACGCGGUGGUGUAAGGCUGCAUCGGCGGAACGCCGUGGUGCUGCCUAGGCCGCGCCGGCAGGGCUGUUGGCGACGGCUAUGCUAUUAGCGGUGCCUAGGGCUUCCUCGCUGCUCCGCCGUUGCCGUUCCGAGGGGAUGACGGGAGCAGGGAGGCUAACUGACCUAGGUGGAGAAAAGGGAGGACCCAGCGACGACGACCACGGCGGCCAAGCUGUUGGCGGUGGAACUUCCGGUCAAAACCCUAUCUCAAGCAUCACCCUAUCCUGUAGUACAAAGUUUAAGUUCCAUAUCAGUUCUGCACUUGUCAUUUCUUCCGGUCAAAACCCGUUCUAAAAGUUGAACAGAGUGCUAGUUGGUGGAACUUCCCUGAUCCUGAUUACAGGUGAAAAGCUCAGUUCUGUCACUGGCCAUCUUCUCAUUUCCGGCAUGGAGAGUGAGUAAAUUAUCUGAAUAAAUAAUUUCUAAUUCGUAGAAUGGCAAAUGUUUUCUUCUUUUUCAAUAGGCUCUGCAACAGUUGGAAAACAGCUGAUAAUGUCACCACCCUGCAAUUGUGCUCAUGUGCUGAAAUGGUUGUUUGCACUACAAACCUAGCUCCAGUUACACCUGCAAAAAUUCUAGCCUUGAGUAGAAUUGACCGUUCAGUAAUACUACCCCAAUAUUACUUCAUUGGCAGCUAUCUCAAGCAUCACCCUAUCCUGUAGUACAAAGUUUAAGUUCCAUAUCAGUUCUGCACUUGUCAUUUCUUCUGGUCAAAACCCGUUCUAAAAGUUGAACAGAGUGCUAGUUGGUGGAACUUCCCUGAUCCUGAUUACAGGUGAAAAGCUCAGUUCUGUCACUGGCCAUCUUCUCAUUUCCGGCAUGGAGAGUGAGUAAAUUAUCUGAAUAAAUGAUUUCUAAUUCGUAGAAUGGCAAAUGUUUUCUUCUUUUUCAAUAGGCUCUGCAACAGUUGGAAAACAGCUGAUAACUUGUCAAAAGUAGUUGCAGAAGACGUAACGGGUAAAUGUAUCAUCAACUACUUCCUAAAACUUGGAUAGCUUUUCAUUAGUUUCCCCAAAAGUGAUUGAAUGAAAAGUUAUUCAUGAUUCUAUUUCCUUUAGUGUCUCACAGUGCAUUGAUCUAGGAAGUUGACUAGUGAUGUAGGAAGAUGUCAGACUGGAUGGCAAAAAAGAAAGGGAGGUGGGAUAUGCAAUCUGUAGCACUAUCUGAAUUCUUACUUGGAUUAUCAUCACUUCCCGACUAAAAUUCUUGAUCAAGUGAUACAUGCUUGUCACGGUAGUCCUGGACAUUUCCAAAAAAUUGCAAGUGAUACAUUCUUGAUCAAGUGAUUUGGAUUAUCAACUUAUAUACUUAAUUUUUGUUGGACUGCAAUAUAUUGCGCUCAACAUAUUACAGUUCCUAAAGCUUUGCAUAUUGGGCAUAAACCGUGGAAUUAAUAACAAAAUAAAUGAGAAGAUUCAGAGUCUGGGUGCAGCGGCGACCUGGGUGUCGCGUGACGCAAUGGUGCGAGGCCGCGGCAGAAAGCAGUGGUGCGAGGCGGCGGCAGCGGGACGCGAUGGUGUAAGGCUGCGUCGGCGGAACGCCAUGGUGCUGCCUAGGCCGCGGCGGCAGGGCUGUUGGCGACGGCUAUGCUAUUGGCGGUGCAUAGGGCUUCCUCGCUGCUCCGCCGUUGCCGUUCCGAGGGGAUGACGGGAGCAGGGAGGCUAACUGACCUAGGUGGAGAAAAGGGAGGACCCAGCGACGACGACCGCGGCGGCCAAGCUGUUGGCGGUGGCGGCGACGACGCGCACGCAGAGGUGCUACACCCGCCAUGAGUAGCAGGAGACUCUGCGGCGAAGACACGAGAGUGGAAGGGGAACGGGCCUCGGGCCGGUGCGGGGCAAGAAAUCCACCGGGCAGAUUAGUACCAUACCGAAAGUUUAGUCAGGACGUGACCAGUUUAUUAGGCCCAAUUCUACUAGCUGUAUCGCCAACACAGGGAAAAUGCACGGCUGUCGGCUGCGAAAGAUGCCAAAGCGCACAAAUAAAAGAGGCCAUCAAGCCCAACCCGUGACCCAGCACCCAAUAGUGCACACGGACGAAAAGAUGGCCUCCGAGCCCAGCCGUGACCCAGCACCGAUAAGUGCACACGGACCAAAAUAAAUGCAGCGAAAAGAUCCCCUAUGAGGGCACAGUCGUAAAAAAAUAGCGCAAUUGCAUCCCCUGAGUUGGCAAGUGCUAGACAUUAGCACUUGGCUUUUUGUUCAGAUUCCUUUUUUAAGGCUUUUCCUACAAGAAAACACAUGGGAUGCAGCGGCCAUCGAGAGCAGUGCUCGAAGCCAGCCAUGGUGUCCGCUCGCAGCUGCCGCGAGGUUGCUUGUAGUGGCCAGGGCACAUCGCGCGGCCAGCUUUUUGCUGCCCCUCCUCGAUGUUUGUUGCUGCGGUGAAGAAGAAAGGGGAUGAGCGAGAAAUCAAACAUUCUAUGAAAGAGUGAGAGUUCAAACAGAAUAAGAUUGCUAGAUCGUAAAGUAGGGUAGCUAGGGUAGCUCAUGGUCCUAUGAAUUAUGUAUGGACAACUCAAAACAAUGCAUGUUGGUUGCAUAGAGCUCCUUAUUUUGUUAAGGAUCUUGUAAUAGCUGAUUGCAACCCUAUUGAAUUCAAAUAAAACCUCGGAUUCCCUGCAAAAAAAAGGUGGAUGAGCAGUAGAGGAGAUGGAGAUGUGCUGCUACAGCAACAAGCGAGAUAUUUCACAGGGUGGGAAAGAGAUGAGAAUAAGAAGGGCGGUGUUAACGCCCAUUGCAAGGUGGAAUGGCAGGACGCUCGGAGCUGCCUCCCAUGCGUGCGAUCUAGCCAGAUCGGACGCAUCGCGUGCGUCCGGCUCAAAGUUGUGUCGACCAGCCAUGUUCAAACAUUUUCCUUUUUUAACAUAUCAGCAAACCGUGUAACUAUCUCUUUAUAGUGUUGUCCAGGGCACUGCUAUACAAGGUACACAGAUCAAAUUCCACGUGAAGCGCUAAUGAUAGAGGACAGAACCAUAUAGACACUUACCAGUAGCACACUCUUGUCGUUACACACACGCGCGUCGAGUGCAGAGAGACAUCAAGACGAACGCACUAACCAACGAAGGGCAUGAUUCCACGAGAUAGGCUAGUCUCCGACUUGCAUUCUGAUCUUGGGAUAAAGCUCUCGUCGUCAUGCCCACCAGGUUCAGAGGUGUGGGUGUUGGCUAUUCUGUCGUCGUCCUUGGCGAAACAAUAGCCAGGUUGGGCAUAAACCGUGGAAUUAAUAACAAAAUAAAUGAGAAGAUUCAGAGUCUGGGUGCAGCGGCGACCUGGGUGUUGCGUGACGCAAUGGUGCGAGGCCGCGGCAGAAAGCGGUGAUGCGAGGCGGCGGCAGCGGGACGCGGUGGUGUAAGGCUACGUCGGUGGAACGCCGUGGUGCUGCCUAGGCCGUGGCGGCAGGGCUGUUGGCGACGGCUAUGCUAUUGGCGGUGCCUAGGGCUUCCUGGCUGCUCCGCCGUUGCCGUUCCGAGGGGAUGACGGGAGCAGGGAGGCUAACUGACCUAGGUGGAGAAAAGGGAGGACCCAGCGACGACGACCGCGGCGGCCAAGCUGUUGGCGGUGGAACUUCCGGUCAAAACCCUAUCUCAAGCAUCACCCUAUCCUGUAGUACAAAGUUUAAGUUCCAUAUCAGUUCUGCACUUGUCAUUUCUUCCGGUCAAAACCCGUUCUAAAAUUUGAACAGAGUGCUAGUUGGUGGAACUUCCCUGAUCCUGAUUACAGGUGAAAAGCUCAGUUCUGUCACUGGCCAUCUUCUCAUUUCCGGCAUGGAGAGUGAGUAAAUUAUCUGAAUAAAUGAUUUCUAAUUCGUAGAAUGGCAAAUGUUUUCUUCUUUUUCAAUAGGCUCUGCAACAGUUGGAAAACAGCUGAUAAUGUCACCACCCUGCAAUUGUGCUCAUGUGCUGAAAUGGUUGUUUGCACUACAAACCUAGCUCCAGUUACACCUGCACAAAUUCUAGCCUUAAGUAGAAUUGACCGUUCAGUAAUACUACCCCAAUGUUACUUCAUUGGCAGCUAUCUCAAGCAUCACCCUAUCCUGUAGUACAAAGUUUAAGUUCCAUAUCAGUUCUGCACUUGUCAUUUCUUCCGGUCAAAACCCAUUCUAAAAGUUGAACAGAGUGCUAGUUGGUGGAACUUCCCUGAUCCUGAUUACAGGUGAAAAGCUCAGUUCUAUCACUGGUCAUCUUCUCAUUUCCGGCAUGGAGAGUGAGUAAAUUAUCUGAAUAAAUGAUUUCUAAUUCGUAGAAUGGCAAAUGUUUUCUUCUUUUUCAAUAGGCUCUGCAACAGUUGGAAAACAGCUGAUAACUUGUCAAAAGUAGUUGCAGAAGACGUAACGGGUAAAUGUAUCAUCAACUACUUCCUAAAACUUGGAUAGCUUUUCAUUAGUUUCCGCAAAAGUGAUUGAAUGAAAAUUUAUUCAUGAUUCUAUUUCCUUCAGUGUCUCACAGUGCAUUGAUCUAGGAAGAUGACUAGUGAUGUAGGAAGAUGUCAGACUGGAUGGCAAAAAAGAAAGGGAGGUGGGAUAUGCAAUCUGUAGCACUAUCUGAAUUCUUACUUGGAUUAUCAUCACUUCCCGACUAAAAUUCUUGAUCAAGUGAUACAUGCUUGUCACGGUAGUCCUGGACAUUUCCAAAAAAUUGCAAGUGAUACAUUCUUGAUCAAGUGAUUUGGAUUAUCAACUUAUAUACUUAAUUUUUGUUGGACUGCAAUAUAUUGCGCUCAACAUAUUACAGUUCCUAAAGCUUUGCAUAUUGGGCAUAAACCGUGGAAUUAAUAACAAAAUAAAUGAGAAGAUUCAGAGUCUGGGUGCAGCGGUGACCUGGGUGUCGCGUGAAGCAAUGGUGCGAGGCCGCGGCAGAAAGCGGUGGUGCGAGGCGGCGGCAGCGGGACGCGGUGGUGUAAGGCUGCGUCGGCGGAAAGCCGUGGUGCUGCCUAGGCCGCGCCGGCAGGGCUGUUGGCGAUGACUAUGCUAUUGGCGGUGCCUAGGGCUUCCUCGCUGCUCCGCCGUUGCCGUUUCGAGGGGAUGACGGGAGCAGGGAGGCUAACUGACCUAGGUGGAGAAAAGGGAGGACCCAGCGACGACGACCGCGGCGGCCAAGCUGUUGGCGGUGGCGGCGACGACGCGCACGCAGAGGUGCUACACCCGCCAUGAGUAGCAGGAGACUCUGCGGUGAAGACACGAGAGUGGAAGGGGAACGGGCCUCGGGCCGGUGCGGGACAAGAAAUCCACCGGGCAGAUUAGUACCAUACCGAAAGUUUAAUCAGGACGUGACCAGUUUAUUAGGCCCAAUUCUACUAGUUGUAUCGCCAACACAGGGAAAAUGCACGGCUGUCGGCUGCGAAAGAUGCCAAAGCGCACAAAUAAAAGAGGCCAUCGAGCCCAACCCGUGACCCAGCACCCAAUAGUGCACACGGACGAAAAGAUGGCCUCCGAGCCCAGCCGUGACCCAGCACCGAUAAGUGCACACGGACCAAAAUAAAUGCAGCGAAAAGAUCCCCUGGCUUUUCCUACAAGAAAACACAUGGGAUACAGCGGCCAUCGAGAGCAGUGCUCGAAGCCAGCCAGGGCACAUCGCGCGGCCAGCUUUUUGCUGCCCCUCCUCGAUGUUUGUUGCUGCGGUGAAGAAGAAAGGGGAUGAGCGAGAAAUCAAACAUUCUAUGAAAGAGUGAGAGUUCAAACAGAAUAAGAUUGCUAGAUCGUAAAAUAGGGUAGCUAGGGUAGCUCAUUGUCCUAUGAAUUAUGUAUGGACAACUCGAAACAAUGCAUGUUGGUUGCAUAGAGCUCCUUAUUUUGUUAAGGAUCUUGUAAUAGCUGAUUGCAACCCUAUUGAAUUGAAAUAAAAACUCGGAUUCCCUGCAAAAAAAAGGUGGAUGAGCAGCGGAGGAGAUGGAGAUGUGCUGCUACAGCAACAAGAGAGAUAUUUCACAGGGUGGGAAAGAGAUGAGAAUAAGAAGGGCGGUGUUGACGCCCAUUGCAAGGUGGGAUGGCAGGACGCUCGGAGCUGCCUCCCAUGCGUGCGAUCUAGCCAGAUCGGACGCAUCGCGUGCGUCCGGCUCAAAGUUGUGUCGACCAGCCAUGUUCAAACAUUUUCCUUUUUUAACAUAUCAGCAAACCGUGUAACUAUCUCUUUAUAUUGUUGUCCAGGGCACUGCUAUACAAGGUACACAGAUCAAAUUCCACGUGAAGCGCUAAUGAUAGAGGACAGAACCAUAUAGACAGUUGCCAGUAGCACACUCUUGUCGUUACACACACGCGCGUCGAGUGCAGAGAGACAUCAAGACGAAUGCACUAAUCAACAAAGGGCAUGAUUCCACGAGAUAGGCUAGUCUCCGACUUGCAUUCUGAUCUUGGGAUAAAGCUCUCAUCGUCAUGCCCACCAGGUUCAGAGGUGUGGGUGUUGGCUAUUCUGUCGUCGUCCUUGGCGAAACAAUAGCCAGGUUGGGCAUAAACCGUGGAAUUAAUAACAAAAUAAAUGAGAAGAUUCAGAGUCUGGGUGCAGCGGCGACCUGGGUGUCGCGUGACGCAAUGGUGCGAGGCCGCGGUAGAAAGCGGUGGUGCGAGGCGGCGGCAGUGGGACGCGGUGGUGUAAGGCUGCGUCGGCGGAACACCGUGGUGCUGCCUAGGCCGCGGCGGCAGGGCUGUUGGCGACGGCUAUGCUAUUGGCGGUGCCUAGGGCUUCCUCGCUGCUCCGCCGUUGCCGUUCCGAGGGGAUGACGGGAGCAGGGAGGCUAACUGACCUAGGUGGAGAAAAGGGAGGACCCAGCGACGACGACCG
rnacentral:lncRNA from 1 species